rnacentral:rRNA from 1 species
UUUCCGUAGGUGAACCUGCGGAAGGAUCAUUAUUGAAAUAAACCUGAUGGGUUGUUGCUGGCUCUCUAGGGAGCAUGUGCACACUUGUCAUCUUUAUAUCUCCACCUGUGCACCUUUUGUAGAUCUGGAUAAUUUUCUGAAUGCCCCUGGCAUUCAGGUUUGGGGAUUGACUUUGUCUUUCCUUACAUUUCCAGACCUAUGUUUUCUUCAUAUACACCAUGUAUGUUAUAGAAUGUAAUGAAAAGGCCUUUGUGCUACAAACCUAUACAACUUUCAGCAACGGAUCUCUUGGCUCUC